UACGUAGGGGGCGAGCGUUGUCCGGAGUGACUGGGCGUAAAGCGCGCGCAGGCGGUGACCCACGCCGGUCGUGAAAGCCCCCGGCUCAACCGGGGCAGGUCGACCGGGACGGGGUGACUGGAGGGUGUCAGAGGGGGGUGGAACGCCGUGUGGAGCAGUGAAAUGCGUAGAGAUGCGGCAGAACACCGGAGGCGAAGGCGGCCCCCUGGGGCACAUCUGACGCUGAGGCGCGAAGGCGCGGGGAGCGAACGGG
rnacentral:rRNA from 1 species